rnacentral:rRNA from 1 species
GAUGAACGCUAGCGGCAGGCUUAACACAUGCAAGUCGAGGGGCAGCGAGGCCGUAGCAAUACGGCUGUCGGCGACCGGCGCACGGGUGCGUAACGCGUAUGCAACCUACCCGUAACAGGGGGAUAACACUGAGAAAUUGGUACUAAUACCCCAUAAUAUCUCGGAAGGCAUCUUCUGGGGUUGAAAACUCUGGUGGUUACGGAUGGGCAUGCGUUGUAUUAGCUAGUUGGUAAGGUAACGGCUUACCAAGGCGACGAUACAUAGGGGGACUGAGAGGUUAGCCCCCCACAUUGGAACUGAGACACGGUCCAA